rnacentral:rRNA from 1 species
GACGAACGCUGGCGGCGUGCUUAACACAUGCAAGUCGAACAGUAAGGCCCUUCGGGGUACACGAGUGGCGAACGGGUGAGUAACACGUGGGUGAUCUGCCCUGCACUUCGGGAUAAGCCUGGGAAACUGGGUCUAAUACCGGAUAGGACCACUGCCUGCAUGGGUGGUGGUGGAAAGCUUUUGCGGUGUGGGAUGGGCCCGGGGCCUAUCAGCUUGUUGGUGGGGUGAUGGCCUACCAAGGCGACGACGGGUAGCCGGCCUGAGAGGGUGACCGGCCACACUGGGACUGAGAUACGGCCCAGACUCCUACGGGAGGCAGCAGUGGGGAAUAUUGCACAAUGGGCGCAAGCCUGAUGCAGCGACGCCGCGUGAGGGAUGACGGCCUUCGGGUUGUAAACCUCUUUCAGCACCGACGAAGCGCAAGUGACGGUAGGUGCAGAAGAAGGACCGGCCAACUACGUGCCAGCCGCCGCAGUAAGAC